rnacentral:rRNA from 2 species
ACAUGCAAGUCGAACGAGUUCUCGUUGAUGAUCGGUGCUUGCACCGAGAUUCAACAUGGAACGAGUGGCGGACGGGUGAGUAACACGUGGGUAACCUGCCCUUAAGUGGGGGAUAACAUUUGGAAACAGAUGCUAAUACCGCAUAGAUCCAAGAACCGCAUGGUUCUUGGCUGAAAGAUGGCGUAAGCUAUCGCUUUUGGAUGGACCCGCGGCGUAUUAGCUAGUUGGUGAGGUAAUGGCUCACCAAGGCGAUGAUACGUAGCCGAACUGAGAGGUUGAUCGGCCACAUUGGGACUGAGACACGGCCCAAACUCCUACGGGAGGCAGCAGUAGGGAAUCUUCCACAAUGGACGCAAGUCUGAUGGAGCAACGCCGCGUGAGUGAAGAAGGCUUUCGGGUCGUAAAACUCUGUUGUUGGAGAAGAAUGGUCGGCAGAGUAACUGUUGUCGGCGUGACGGUAUCCAACCAGAAAGCCACGGCUAACUACGUGCCAGCAGCCGCGGUAAUACGUAGGUGGCAAGCGUUAUCCGGAUUUAUUGGGCGUAAAGCGAGCGCAGGCGGUUUUUUAAGUCUGAUGUGAAAGCCCUCGGCUUAACCGAGGAAGCGCAUCGGAAACUGGGAAACUUGAGUGCAGAAGAGGACAGUGGAACUCCAUGUGUAGCGGUGAAAUGCGUAGAUAUAUGGAAGAACACCAGUGGCGAAGGCGGCUGUCUGGUCUGUAACUGACGCUGAGGCUCGAAAGCAUGGGUAGCGAACAGGAUUAGAUACCCUGGUAGUCCAUGCCGUAAACGAUGAAUGCUAGGUGUUGGAGGGUUUCCGCCCUUCAGUGCCGCAGC